UUGUUUUUUUUUAUUGUAAUGAUCAGUCUGUGAACAGUACUAAUUGAUGUUGUGAUAAGAUGUAGAGUGCGUCGCAAAUUAAAACGCACUCGUAGUCACGCUGAACUCCAAGUGCCUUCCAUGCGGUUCUGUCAACACUGAAUGGCAAACAAUAAAAUAAAGAAAUAAUUUCAAGUGUGAAA